AACGAACGCUGGCGGCAUGCCUAACACAUGCAAGUCGAACGAGACCUUCGGGUCUAGUGGCGCACGGGUGCGUAACGCGUGGGAACCUGCCUUUAGGUUCGGAAUAACUCAGAGAAAUUUGAGCUAAUACCGGAUGAUGUCUUCGGACCAAAGAUUUAUCGCCUUUAGAUGGGCCCGCGUUGGAUUAGCUAGUUGGUGGGGUAAAGGCCUACCAAGGCGAUGAUCCAUAGCUGGUCUGAGAGGAUGAUCAGCCACACUGGGACUGAGACACGGCCCAGACUCCUACGGGAGGCAGCAGUGGGGAAUAUUGGACAAUGGGCGAAAGCCUGAUCCAGCAAUGCCGCGUGAGUGAUGAAGGCCUUAGGGUUGUAAAGCUCUUUUACCCGAGAUGAUAAUGACAGUAUCGGGAGAAUAAGCUCCGGCUAACUCCGUG
rnacentral:rRNA from 1 species